AACCAUAGAAACCUGCGGAGUACCUGCGGAGGGAUCAUUAUAGUAUAUGGAAUCUCCAUUCUAUAAACCCACUCUGCGUAUCUUGUAACUGUUGCUUCCAUGGGACUUGGUUCCGCCACACCGGCUUCACGGCUGGUGAGCGCCCAUGGAAGGAGAAACAAAACUCUUCCUUGAAAUGUAGUCAGUCUGAACAAGUUUUUAUAAACGUUAAAACUUUCAGCAAUGGAUCUCAGAUCGGAA
rnacentral:misc_RNA from 1 species